CUAAACYCAGAGGAUCACAUCACGGCUGCUUCAAUAUGAUCUUCAUGGUUUUCAUGUUUACUUUUUCAUAUUUACAUGUAAUCAACGGAGCUUCUGACUCCAAACAUGUCGGCCAAACUCCUCCUUCCAUCAUUAAGAAAACUGGGGAAUCUGUGGACAAAGAGAUCAGAUGUUCCCACAGCAUCCCGAACCACGACGUGAUUCUGUGGUACAAACAAGACGAGAACAGAACCCUGCAGCUCCUGGGAUAUCUGAAUCUCAACUAUGUCACUGUUGAACGAGAUGUGAAGAAAACAAUCAGCUUUGAAGGAGACGGGCGCACGCACUCGGACCUCACUGUGUCUGAUCUGACAGCAGACGACAGCGCCGUGUAUUUCUGUGCUGCCAGAUACGCACAACUGGGAUACGACAAACUGCUUUGGCAGGUUAAUCAGAUGCAAACCUAA